rnacentral:rRNA from 1 species
UACAGAGGGUGCGAGCGUUAAUCGGAAUUACUGGGCGUAAAGCGCACGUAGUCGGCUUUGCAAGUCGGGUGUGAAAUCCCCCGGGCUCAACCUGGGAACUGCAUCCGAGACUGCAUUGCUAGAGUAUGGGAGAGGGAAGCGGAAUUUCUGGUGUAGCAGUGAAAUGCGUAGAUAUCAGAAGGAACAUCAGUGGCGAAGGCGGCUUCCUGGACCAAUACUG